UCAAAAAAAGGUAAAAGAUGUAGA
rnacentral:piRNA from 1 species